GACGAACGCUGGCGGCGUGCUUAACACAUGCAAGUCGAACGGGCCUGUCUUCUUUUUUGGGGGUGGGUUGAGUGGCGAACGGGUGAGUAUCACGUGAGUAACCUGCCCUUCGGUCCUGGAUAACCGCUUGAAAGGGCGGCUAAUACGGGGUGGUCCGGUUGGUCCGCAUGGGCUGGUCGGGAUAGAUUCACUGUUUUUGGUGUUUCGGCGGGGGAUGGGCUCGCGGCCUAUCAGCUUGUUGGUGGGGUGAUGGCCUACCAAGGCGGUGACGGGUAGCCGGCCUGAGAGGGUGGGCGGCCACACUGGGACUGAGCUACGGCCCAGACUCCUGCGGGAGGCAGCAGUGGGGGGUAGUGCACAAGGGGCGGAAGCCUGAUGCAGCGACGUCGCGUGGGGGAUGGAGGCCUUCGGGUUGUGAACCUCUGUUUCCGGUGGUGAAGGCCCUGUCCGUGUGGUGGGGUUGACGGUAGCCGGGGAUGAAGCGCCGGCUAACUACGUG
rnacentral:rRNA from 1 species